rnacentral:lncRNA from 1 species
UUCUAUUUAAAAUCUAAUAAAAUAAAUAACUUUAUAAAAGUCACUACAAGAAAAAAGCUUAAGUUCGAGGGAAAAAUCUGUCAGACAUAAGCCUAUUCAGUCGAAAAUAUAUUAUUCCCGAUGGAAAUAUCCGUCAGAUAUUCGGUCGUAAAUAUUCGCGUCGAAAAUAAGAUCCGUCAAAAAUUCCGUCGAAAAUUCCUUAUCCUCGACGAACGUAUCUCCGACAGAUGUUCGUCGAACAUUAAUUAUCUUCGACAAAAUAUAUAGGACGAAACUUUUCGUCGAAUAUAACAGUACCUAUUUUCGACGGAUGUAUUCCCUCAGAAUCAUCUUAUUUUCGACUGAAAAAUAAAAUAACCCACUAUUCAUUAAAAUUGGCUAAUUAUUAACUUCGACGGAAUUUGCGUCGAAGAUAGAGCGUUUACGACGGAUACGUUUCGUCGAAGAUAACGUAUGUUCGACUGAAAUUAGGAUAUUUUGGCAUAUAUUAAAAAUUGAUUAUUUGUUAACUCCGAGGGAAGUUCCGUCGCAAAUACCCUAUUCCGUCGGAAUUAACUAUCCAUUUUUUUAAUUGCAGAUUUUAAAAGUUCAGUUUCCAGGUAUUUAAACCCAUUAAUGUACCUGUAACCUAUCACAACCCAAUACACAGUAACAUAAACCUGUAUCUCACAUUCAAAUAUGCAACGUAGCACUAAAACUUAAUCUUCAACUCAUUAUCAUUCACAUUCACAUUCAAAUAUCCACCAAAACGUAUUAUAAGCUAACCAAUUACAAAUAUAAGCUAAUGUUCUAUAAAUGUUAAACAAUAUAAUUUACAAUAGUUGUACAGACACAAUUAGACAAUACAAUAUAUACAAAAGUUCUACAAUAACAUGAAUAUAUACAAAUGAACUAUAAACUAGUAAAAGUAUCAUCAUCAGGCGGAGGUGAACGACGCUGCUCUGGUGUAUGGAAAUCAGACUCGUGCUCCUACUCAUCAUCGCCAGCCUGGUCGCUAUCGCCACCUUGUUGAUAGAAUUAAAAAUAUAAAUCAUUAGUCCGUAUAUAUAUAUAUAUAUGUGAGAAUUAACAAACUAGCCUUAAUUGAAAAACAUAAACAAUAAGAAUAACUGAGUAGGUGGGGGCGGACGAAAAGCCUCCUCCAAGAGUGUAAUCACCAUCCGGAGCAUCUCGGUGCUCCAAGCGUCGAACUGCUCCUGUGGCAAUCCUGUAUUCUCUGCAGAGGCCCCUGCUAUAAUAUCCUGAGCAAUCUGGUGAAGACGAGAACUGGAAGGCAACUGCUGACGCCGAAAGAUCGGAUCGGUAUGGAACCUAUUCGACACGGCCCCUAUCAGCCGCCGGAAGAUAUCGUCAUCCAAGCCAGCGCCCAUAUGAGAUGGUUCGACAUGUGCUCUCGGACGCUGGCUGGAACCUAUAAAGAGAUACAAAUUUGAUUACUAAUAAUAAUUUAUAUAAUGUGAUAAAUUCGGAUAAUUUCAUGAAACAUAAAAAAAU